GGGGUUACUGUGUUUGAGUGCAUGCAGGAUAUCGCGCAAAAUAGCAAGAGAGGACGGAUUUAUUGAAGCCCACAACCCUUACUCAUUUCUGCUUCACGGAUUGGGUUGUUCUCAAAUGUGGAUCAAUCGUGCCACUGUUCUCCAGCUCUUGACUUCUUUUUAUUCCUCAAAAAUCUGCACCCACUUCUUGCUCACCCUUUUCCAGCAACAUGCAUCUCUCGAAUCUACCCUCCCCAUCUCAAAAAUAAAUUAAAGUAUUUCAGAGAGUUUUUUUUUUUGAAUGGAGAUGGAGAAAGGUAUGGGGAUGAAUGUU
rnacentral:lncRNA from 1 species